rnacentral:tRNA from 1 species
GCGUCCGUAGUUUAGUGGAUAGAGCGGCGGGUUCCGGUCCCGCAAGUCGGGGGUUCGAAUCCCUCCGGGCGCACCA